CAGCUUAUGAUGAUCCUAAUUUGUCAGAAAAACAAAUGUUGAUUUUAUUAUGAGCUUUUUAACUCUGAACUGU